rnacentral:misc_RNA from 1 species
CCGAGUUUACAACUCCCAAACCCCUGUGAACAUACCUAUACGUUGCCUCGGCGGAUCAGCCCGCGCCCCGUAAAAAGGGACGGCCCGCCCGAGGACCCCUAAACUCUGUUUUUAGUGGAACUUCUGAGUAAAACAAACAAACAAAAUCA